UACAGAGGGUGCAAGCGUUAAUCGGAGUUACUGGGCGUAAAGGGCGCGUAGGUGGUUAUGUAAGUGAGAUGUGAAAUCCCUGGGCUUAACCUAGGAACUGCAUCUUAUACUGCAUAACUGGAGUACUGUAGAGGGUAGUGGAAUUUCCGGUGUAGCGGUGAAAUGCGUAGAGAUCCCCAAGAACACCAGUUGCGAAGGCGGCUGACUGGACACAUAUUGACGCUGAGGCUCGAAAGCAUGGGGAGCAAACAGG
rnacentral:rRNA from 1 species